AUCAUUAACUGAAUCCAUAGGUUAAUGAGGCGAACCGGGGGAACUGAAACAUCUAAGUACCCCGAGGAAAAGAAAUCAACCGAGAUUCCCCCAGUAGCGGCGAGCGAACGGGGAGGAGCCCAGAGCCUGAAUCAGCAUGUGUGUUAGUGGAAGCGUCUGGAAAGGCGCGCGAUACAGGGUGACAGCCCCGUACACAAAAGCGCAUGUGCUGUGAGCUCGAUGAGUAGGGCGGGACACGUGGUAUCCUGUCUGAAUAUGGGGGGACCAUCCUCCAAGGCUAAAUACUCCUGACUGACCGAUAGUGAACCAGUACCGUGAGGGAAAGGCGAAAAGAACCCCGGCGAGGGGAGUGAAAAAGAACCUGAAACCGUGUACGUACAAGCAGUGGGAGCACCC
rnacentral:rRNA from 1 species